GUGGCUGUGGCUCAGUGGUAGAGCACUUGCCUAGCAUGUAUGAGGCCCUGGGUUCGAUCCUCAGCACCACA
rnacentral:tRNA from 1 species